UAGCCGAUGGACAACAGGUUGAUAUUCCUGUACUGCAGUAUGACAGAACUGUGGGGACACGUAAGGAGAGCGGGAGCCGGGAAUGGAAAGCCCGGUGCAAGCGAGGUACCAGUAUGGUAGGAAAAACCGCCAUGCAAUGGGAAGACGUGAUGUGGAGUGAAAUAUAGUAACGAAGCCCGUGAGCCAUGCGUCAAGAAAAGCCGCUAUUGUUUAUAUUGUACCCGUACCGUAAACCGACACAGGUGGAUGAGGAGAGAAUCCUAAGGCCGGCGGAAGAAGUAUUGCCAAGGAACUCGGCAAAAUGGCCCCGUAACUUAGGGAGAAGGGGUGCCUGCGAGAGCAGGCCGCAGAGAAUAGGCUCAAGCAACUGUUUAGCAAAAACACAGGUCUAUGUGAAACCGAAAGGUGAGGUAUAUGGGCUGACGCCUGCCCGGUGCUGGAAGGUUAAGAGGAGAGGUUAGACGUAAGUCGAAGCUUUGAAUUUAAGCCCCAGUAAACGGCGGCCGUAACUAUAACGGUCCUAAGGUAGCGAAAUUCCUUGUCGGGUAAGUUCCGACCCGCACGAAAGGCGUAAUGAUUUGAGCGCUGUCUCGGCAAUACAUCCGGUGAAAUUGAAGUGCCAGUGAAGAUGCUGGCUACCCGCGCCAGGACGGAAAGACCCCAUGGAGCUUUACUCCAGUUUGGCACUGGGGUCCGGUGUUGCAUGUACAGGAUAGGUGGGAGGCUGAGAAACGGUAACGUCAGUUGCCGCGGAGCCGCUGUUGGGAUACCACCCUUGUGAUAUUGGGCUUCUAACCAGCCGCCGUAAACCGGCGGUGGGACAAUGCCAGGCGGGGAGUUUGACUGGGGCGGUCGCCUCCGAAAGGGUAUCGGAGGCGCCCAAAGGUUCCCUCAGAAUGGACGGAAACCAUUCGAAGAGUGCAAAGGCAGAAGGGAGCUUGACUGCGACACCGACGGGUGGAGCAGGUACGAAAGUAGGGCUUAGUGAUCCGGUGGUAUUAAGUGGGAAUGCCAUCGCUCAACGGAUAAAAGCUACCCUGGGAUAACAGGCUUAUCACUCCCAAGAGUUCACAUCGACGGAGUGGUUUGGCACCUCGAUGUCGGCUCAUCGCAUCCUGGGGCUGUAGUAGGUCCCAAGGGUUGGGCUGUUCGCCCAUUAAAGCGGUACGCGAGCUGGGUUCAGAACGUCGUGAGACAGUUCGGUCCCUAUCCGGCGUGGGCGCAGGAUAUCUGAGAGGAGCUGUCCUUAGUACGAGAGGACCGGGAUGGACGGACCGCUGGUGGACCGGUUGGCUUGCCAAAGCCAUGGCCGGGUAGCCAAGUCCGGAAGGGAUAAACGCUGAAGGCAUCUAAGCGUGAAGCCCCCCUCAAGAUGAGAUAUCCCAUUCUUAGUGAAGUAAACCCCCUUGAAGACGACGAGGUAGAUAGGGCAGAGGUGGAAGUGUGGUAACACAUGGAGCUGACUGUUACUAAUCGGGUGAGGGCUUGAUC
rnacentral:rRNA from 1 species